UACAGAGGUCCCAAGCGUUGUUCGGAUUCACUGGGCGUAAAGGGUGCGUAGGUGGCGGGGUAAGUCGGAUGUGAAAUCUCCGAGCUCAACUCGGAAAUGGCAUUGGAAACUACCUUGCUCGAGGGUUGGAGGGGGGACUGGAAUGCUUGGUGUAGCAGUGAAAUGCGUAGAUAUCAAGCGGAACACCAGUGGCGAAGGCGAGUCCCUGGACAACUCCUGACACUGAGGCACGAAAGCUAGGGGAGCAAACAGG
rnacentral:rRNA from 1 species